UGAAGAGACUGGGGGAAGGGGAAAGAGAGAAGCCAGAAAGAAAAGGAUUGGGGGCUAAAAGAGACCUUGUCCAGAAAAGACUGAUAAAUUCUUCUUUUCAGAUUCCUUGAUCACUGUGCUGGAACAAUGAUGCUCGCCCUGAAGUCUCCUGAUCAGGGGGUACUGCUCUCACAGGGACCAAAGGAGAAGGGAGAAGUCUCCGCCACAGCAACUGUGCUACUUGUCAAAGGGUGGCCUAUUGAACAUGAUUAACUUGACUCUGAUGGAAAGGAAAAAAUAACCUGGAAACAUCUGGCAAAUUGUAAAGCAGUGCCUAACAUUUUUUCCCUGUAGGAUUUAAUUCAGAAACAUACUUAAUGGAUCCCCAUUUACCUAAAGCACUAAAGGUUUUGAUGCAGGGGUUUGGGGGAUUUGGGUUUGGUUUCUCUCACCCCACUAGCUGUAGCUCUGUAAUGUUUCAUCUCAUACUCCUGAAUCCAUUAGAAAAAAUGUGCAAUUACAAGGUGGGCAUGGUGCUGUGUUGAAAAGGUGUUUACUGUUCCAGACUGGUUUGUUGUGCUUUGUAUGCACAUUUGAGUCUUGAAAUAUGUGAAAAUUAAUUUCCUGUGUUCCAUGUGGCUAAAAUGACAGUUGAAAUGUAAUUUAGGGACUCACACAAAUAGAAAUUUGAAAAUGAUUUUUAAGAAUUAAAGCAA